CACGUAGGGUGCGAGCGUUGUCCGGAAUUAUUGGGCGUAAAGAGCUCGUAGGCGGUGUGUCGCGUCGGCCGUGAAAACCUGCAGCUUAACUGCGGGCUUGCAGCCGAUACGGGCAGGCUAGAGUUCGGUAGGGGAGACUGGAAUUCCUGGUGUAGCGGUGAAAUGCGCAGAUAUCAGGAGGAACACCGGUGGCGAAGGCGGGUCUCUGGGCCGAUACUGACGCUGAGGAGCGAAAGCGUGGGGAGCGAACAGG
rnacentral:rRNA from 1 species